rnacentral:lncRNA from 1 species
CGUUGUUUGAGUACGGUAUAACACGGCUUUGCGAAGAACGUUGUAACAAGAUUGAUAGCCAUAGUCGGAUAAAUGAACUAGCCAAAUUUUUAACUGCAUGGUGAACAAUAUGAUUAAAAAAAAAAGUGUUAUUUUUAGGAGACGAGGCUCAAGCCCAACUUCAGUAUUUCGCCGUAUACAUUCACUUGCGCAGAAUUGGCUAAAACAGUGCCAUUAAUUGUACACUUGUAACUUAACCCUGCCCCUUCUCUCCCUCUCUCUAUCUCUUAUGCUGUUUUUGAUAUUUUGUUUUCUCUUUUCUCGAGGUACUAUAUCUCACCUAUAUUGUCGAGUUCAUAUCAUUUUUAUAAAUAAAGCGGAUAGCUUACUAUCUUUUUUUCAAAAAAAUAAAUUCACAUAGAUAUAAUUUGCGUGAGCCUUCUUUUUGAAUUGAAUUAAAAAGUAGUCGACAUUUCUGAGUUUA